rnacentral:lncRNA from 12 species
CAACUCCCAGCACUAAUGACUGUGUGGUCUGCUAAUAUUGCAAAACAAUUAACCCCAGUGGCACCUGGUGGCCCAGUGGUUGAGCAUCUGCCUUUGGCUAAGGUCUUGAUCCUGGGAUCAUGGGAUGGAGUCCCACAACAUGGAAUGGAGUCCCAUGUCUGCCUCCCCAUAGGGAGCCUGCUUCUUCCUCUGCCUGUGUCUCUGCCUCUCUGUGUCUCUCAUGAAUAAAUAAAUAAAAAUCUUAAAAACAACAACAAAAAACAAACAAUUCACCCCAAAAGUCAGUGCUCAAAACAACAAUGAUUUAUUCUCUCUCAUGUGUCUGCAGGUCAGCGCUGGAGAAAUAAUUUAAGCAGGGCUCAACCAGGCAACUCUACUUCAAACUGUGGGUGCAUCUGGACCUGGAUCCUCACUGCAGAUUGGGCUCAGGUCUAUCCACGAAUUUUCAUUCUCUGCCUGGAGGAAGGGACAGCAGCUCCCCAGGGGAAACUCUUCUCAGGAAAUACAGAGAUGUAAGAGAUCAAGUCACACUGUGCAAGCACGUUUCUCGCUCUUGCUUCUAUCAUCUGCUUUCACAUCCCAUGGGCCACAGCAGGUCGUGUGGCUGAGCCCACAGUCAAGGGGAAGGAAAUUGCACGCCACUUCCAGUGAGGGGAACUGCAGAGUCAUCUGGUAAAAGGAUAAGGAAGGGAUGAGGAAUUAAGGCCAAGAACUCAACAUACCGCCAUUACUCUGUAUCCUAGGAUGGAACUCAACAUAUCCCCAUUACUCUGUAUUCUAGAACAGAACUCUAUAUAUGACUAGUACUCUGUAUCUUAGAGUGAGAAACAUUCAGAGGCCCCAUGCAGGAGAGGGGAUGAAGGACAGGAAUGAAAGGAUAGAGAAGCCAGCAAGAUGCUGCCUUCUGCAUCCUGUUGGUCCUCACCCUCCCUGUGAACCACCAGCUCAGCCUCUCCACCUUCCUGGCAGCAGGCAGCAGACACUGUUCCAGGGGUCAGAGUGGCGUCCAGCAUCAGCAGCUUGCCACGUGAACGCAGCGCCUGCCAUCCUGCCUCCCUGCCUGAAGAAUUGUAAUCCAGGAUCCCUGUGGGGUUAGGAAAACACAUUUCUCCAGGAUGGCCUGAAGGUGGCGCUGUUGCAGCUGGUCCGUGACAGGUGCUUUGCCACCCACCAACCUUCAGCACCCUGCAGCAUUGACCUUUAGCAAAGGUGAAGCUAAUCAAGUCAUUCCCCUUCCAGAAACUCCUACAGGACCGACAAGUCUCUGCAUAGUCUGAGCACUGCCCACCUCACCAGCCCAUCACCAGCUGCUCCUUUCCUUAUGCCUGGGACUCCUGGCUCACUGGCCCCCGUCCAGCUCCUGGAGUACAUCAUGUGCCGUCCUGCAUCAGUGUCUGUGCACAUUGUUGCCUCUUCUACCAGGGCCACUGCAUCACACGACCCAGGAGCACAGUGAUUCUGUGGUAAUGGCGCCCCUGGAGUUGUGCAGUGGAGCAGAUCUUACCACUUGGCCUUCUCCCAGCUCAGGUUCUCGCCUUCAGAACUCAGCUCAGCACUGCGUUGAAAGUCUCUCGUGAUCCGACCAGGUCAGCUGCCUGAUGCUUGCUUCCAUUAUUACUAAUUCUGUGUGGCACUCACCCCAGUGCUAAACACAUCAUUCAUUGUAUAAUAAUUUUAAGGCAGCUUCAUUGAGAUAUAAUUUGUAUAUUUGUAACAUUC